GUCUCAGUUGGUAGAGCAUGGUGUUUGCAACGCCAGGGUUGUGGGUUCGAUUCCCAC
rfam:Salmo salar isolate Sally breed double haploid chromosome ssa21, whole genome shotgun sequence.